rnacentral:misc_RNA from 1 species
GUUUGUGUGCGUGUGUGUGUGUGUAGUCACCACGAAGUACCUACAUGUGUACUGCUGCCCUACCUACUGUUGAUUAGGCACUCUAGGCUCUCCUUUGGUCUGCCUGCCGAAGAGGACAUGGCUUUCUCUGACGGCAGACCACUCUGAGGAACGAAGUGAAGGGCGCCGUGACCUCCAGCAGGGAAGACACUACCUGCAAGGACUGUCUGCAUCGCCUGGCUGAGCCAAUAAAGAACCAGUGCAGUUUGACGAACUGUUGUGACGGUGCACA